UGGGGAAUAUUGCACAAUGGGCGCAAGCCUGAUGCAGCCAUGCCGCGUGUAUGAAGAAGGCCUUCGGGUUGUAAAGUACUUUCAGCGGGGAGGAAGGCGAUAAGGUUAAUAACCUUGUCGAUUGACGUUACCCGCAGAAGAAGCACCGGCUAACUCCGUGCCAGCAGCCGCGGUAAUACGGAGGGUGCAAGCGUUAAUCGGAAUUACUGGGCGUAAAGCGCACGCAGGCGGUCUGUCAAGUCGGAUGUGAAAUCCCCGGGCUCAUCCUGGGAACUGCAUUCGAAACUGGCAGGCUAGAGUCUUGUAGAGGGGGGUAGAAUUCCAGGUGUAGCGGUGAAAUGCGUAGAGAUCUGGAGGAAUACCGGUGGCGAAGGCGGCCCCCUGGACAAAGACUGACGCUCAGGUGCGAAAGCGUGGGGAGCAAACA
rnacentral:rRNA from 1 species